AGAAAUAGAACAGGUAGGGAGAGAGGGAGAGGAGGAAGCAGAGUUAUGAGGGAGGGAGAGGAGGGAGCAACAGUAGGCUAGCAAUAAACAUCAGGAGCCCAUACAAGGAACAUAUACUAUUCCCCCUUUCUCCUUUUUUCACGUUCCUCUCCCUCUUUACAGAUACGGCGACACGUGCGACAUGGCGGGGGAAAGUGAUGGCCUUGCGCAACCAGGUGUUCAGCCUGACACCAGCGAGGAGGAAGAUGACACCCGCACCCCAAACACACCUGAUGACUCGCCAGGUGGGAGGCAGGUGACAGGGCUCAUUAGGGAAGGUACAAGGACUUACCUCAUUACACCUUGGUCGUGCCCCGGCGUGGUCGUGCGCUUCAGAGGCCCGAGCGGCGUUACCUGGCGAGGGUCAGUGAGGAGGACGAGUCUGGACGUCAGGGCGGAUGAAAGUCACCCCAUUAACCCUCCUUGAGCCCUUCACGCGACCGCCACGCUGGACUUUUGGGUGAUUCGGCGUGUAGGUAUGGUCAGCCGCUUCCGCCUCUCACAUCAACUAUUUCCGCAGACCAACAAGAAGAUCAGCCGGUUUCUAAUGAGUGGUUUUCUGAGGUUUAUGUUACAGAAGAAGUGUCAGACUACCACUAGGGUCAUAAAACUACCCCUGGAAAUGCUUAAAAGUCCUACGAAAGUCUUGUCAGAUAUGUGAGUUUUGGGCGCUGAAGUGUUUAAAGGUCGGUACUGUCAGACUCAUCCGCCUCACAUCAAAUAUUUCCACAGACCAGAAAGAAGAUUAGCGGGCUCCUAAUGGAUGUUUCUUUUAGGUUCAUGGUACAGAAGAAGGGUCGGACUACCACUUGGGUUAUAAAGUCACUCAUGGAGAUGCUUAAAACUCCUACGAAAGCCUUGUCAAAAUAUGUGUGCUUUAAUGUUUAAGAAAAUGACCCCAAGACCCAUCGGAUGCUUGACUCGCCUCACGCAUGACCGCUCGAAGCAAGGGUCGGACCACUCGCUUGCUCCAUGAUUGCCACGCUUCGCCACGCAGGAAAAGGCAAGUAUGAAGUUUCGUCUGUCUUGAAUUAGUUUCUCAAUAGUUAAUCAUUCUUUUUACCCCUUUUAAUUUUAUACGUGGGAUCAUUUACCUGCUAACACAUGAAAAGAAGUGGAGAUAGGUGUUAGAGGUUACAGUUGUGAAUCAUGGCAGCAUCAUAUCUCCCUCCUCCCCUAUACCU